rnacentral:snRNA from 1 species
UAAGGGACGCCCUAAGCUUAGGG